rfam:Caenorhabditis brenneri strain PB2801 C_brenneri-6.0.1_Cont128.10, whole genome shotgun sequence.
CCAACGGCCCUCUUUAGGGCCACAAAUACCCCGAUAAUCCAAAAU